rnacentral:tRNA from 1 species
GGGCGUAUAACUCAGCGGGAGAGUGCAUCCCUCACACGGAUGAAGUCGCUGGUUCAAUCCCAGCUACGCCCA